GGGGAGCUGCAGUCCAUGGGAUCAUGAAGAGUCAGACACAACUUGGGAGACUGAACAACAACAGAAAACCACAAAGGAGAACCAAGAUGGACUUCAUGGUUUUCAGUGGUAUUAGAUUUCAUGCUGAAGACUGAGAUUGCCUCUGAAAACAGAGUUUAUAAGUGAAGACUAGGUGCCACAGAGAUGAUGAGAGCUUGGUAAAAGCAUAGAACCCCUGGCAGCUCUACUCAUUCUACAACAGGC
ensembl:lncRNA